GUACACUCCUGCGGGAGGCAGCAGUGGGGAAUAUUGGACAAUGGGCGCAAGCCUGAUCCAGCCAUGCCGCGUGAGUGAUGAAGGCCCUAGGGUUGUAAAGCUCUUUCACCGGUGAAGAUAAUGACGGUAACCGGAGAAGAAGCCCCGGCUAACUUCGUGCCAGCAGCCGCGGUAAUACGAAGGGGGCUAGCGUUGUUCGGAUUUACUGGGCGUAAAGCGCACGUAGGCGGACUAUUAAGUCAGGGGUGAAAUCCCGGGGCUCAACCCCGGAACUGCCUUUGAUACUGGUAGUCUUGAGUUCGAGAGAGGUGAGUGGAAUUCCGAGUGUAGAGGUGAAAUUCGUAGAUAUUCGGAGGAACACCAGUGGCGAAGGCGGCUCACUGGCUCGAUACUGACGCUGAGGUGCGAAAGCGUGGGGAGCAAACAGGAUUAGAUACCCGGGUAGUCCCAUGA
rnacentral:rRNA from 1 species